UACAGAGGUCUCAAGCGUUGUUCGGAUUCAUUGGGCGUAAAGGGUGCGUAGGCGGCGCGGUAAGUCGGGUGUGAAAUCUCCAGGCUCAACCUGGAGGGGUCAUUCGAUACUGCCGUGACUAGAGUUCGGUAGGGGAGUGUGGAAUUCCUGGUGGAGCGGUGAAAUGCGCAGAUAUCAGGAAGAACACCCGUGGCGAAAGCGGCUCUCUGGGAAUGGUACUGACGCUGAGACGCGAAAGCGUGGGGAGCGAACAGG
rnacentral:rRNA from 1 species